UACGGAGGGUGCAAGCGUUGUUCGGAAUUACUGGGCGUAAAGCGCACGUAGGCGGGUUCGUAAGUCGAUUGUGAAAGCCCCGGGCUCAAUCCGGGAAUUGCAGUCGAAACUACGAGUCUUGAAUGCUCUAGAGGGUGACGGAAUUCCUGGUGUAGAAGUGAAAUUCGUAGAUAUCAGGAGGAACACCGGAGGCGAAGGCGGUUGCCUGGAGAUGCAUUGACGCUGAGGUGCGAAAGCGUGGGGAGCAAACAGG
rnacentral:rRNA from 1 species